GGGUUGUGAGGUUAAGCGACUAAGCGUACACGGUGGAUGCCCUGGCAGUCAGAGGCGAUGAAGGACGUGCUAAUCUGCGAAAAGCGUCGGUAAGGUGAUAUGAACCGUUAUAACCGGCGAUGUCCGAAUGGGGAAACCCAGUGCAAUUCGUUGCACUAUCGUUAACUGAAUACAUAGGUUAACGAGGCGAACCGGGGGAACUGAAACAUCUAAGUACCCCGAGGAAAAAAAAUCAACCGAGAUUCCCCCAGUAGCGGCGAGCGAACGGGGAGCAGCCCAGAGUCUGAAUCAGCUUGUGUGUUAGUGGAACGGUCUGGAAAGUCCGACGGUACAGGGUGAUAGUCCCGUACACCAAAAUGCACAGGCUGUGAACUCGAAGAGUAGGGCGGGACACGUGGUAUCCUGUCUGAAUAUGGGGGGACCAUCCUCCAAGGCUAAAUACUCCUGACUGACCGAUAGUGAACCAGUACCGUGAGGGAAAGGCGAAAAGAACCCCGGCGAGGGGAGUGAAAAAGAACCUGAAACCGUGUACGUACAAGCAGUGGGAGCACCUUCGGGUGUGACUGCGUACCUUUUGUAUAAUGGGUCAGCGACUUAUAUUCUGUAGCAAGGUUAACCGUAUAGGGGAGCCGCAGGGAAACCGAGUCUUAACUGGGCGUUAAGUUGCAGGGUAUAGACCCGAAACCCGGUGAUCUAGCCAUGGGCAGGUUGAAGGUUGGGUAACACUAACUGGAGGACCGAACCGACUAAUGUUGAAAAAUUAGCGGAUGACUUGUGGCUGGGGGUGAAAGGCCAAUCAAACCGGGAGAUAGCUGGUUCUCCCCGAAAGCUAUUUAGGUAGCGCCUCGUGAACUCAUCUUCGGGGGUAGAGCACUGUUUCGGCUAGGGGGUCAUCCCGACUUACCAACCCGAUGCAAACUACGAAUACCGAAGAAUGUUAUCACGGGAGACACACGGCGGGUGCUAACGUCCGUCGUGAAGAGGGAAACAACCCAGACCGCCAGCUAAGGUCCCAAAGUCAUGGUUAAGUGGGAAACGAUGUGGGAAGGCACAGACAGCCAGGAUGUUGGCUUAGAAGCAGCCAUCAUUUAAAGAAAGCGUAAUAGCUCACUGGUCGAGUCGGCCUGCGCGGAAGAUGUAACGGGGCUAAACCAUGCACCGAAGCUGCGGCAGCGACACUAUGUGUUGUUGGGUAGGGGAGCGUUCUGUAAGCCUGCGAAGGUGUGCUGUGAGGCAUGCUGGAGGUAUCAGAAGUGCGAAUGCUGACAUAAGUAACGAUAAAGCGGGUGAAAAGCCCGCUCGCCGGAAGACCAAGGGUUCCUGUCCAACGUUAAUCGGGGCAGGGUGAGUCGACCCCUAAGGCGAGGCCGAAAGGCGUAGUCGAUGGGAAACAGGUUAAUAUUCCUGUACUUGGUGUUACUGCGAAGGGGGGACGGAGAAGGCUAUGUUAGCCGGGCGACGGUUGUCCCGGUUUAAGCAUGUAGGCUGGUUAUCCAGGCAAAUCCGGAUAAUCAAGGCUGAGGUGUGAUGACGAGGCACUACGGUGCUGAAGUAACAAAUGCCCUGCUUCCAGGAAAAGCCUCUAAGCAUCAGGUAACAUCAAAUCGUACCCCAAACCGACACAGGUGGUCAGGUAGAGAAUACCAAGGCGCUUGAGAGAACUCGGGUGAAGGAACUAGGCAAAAUGGUGCCGUAACUUCGGGAGAAGGCACGCUGGUGUGUAGGUGAAGUCCCUGCGGAUGGAGCUGAGACCAGUCGAAGAUACCAGCUGGCUGCAACUGUUUAUUAAAAACACAGCACUGUGCAAACACGAAAGUGGACGUAUACGGUGUGACGCCUGCCCGGUGCCGGAAGGUUAAUUGAUGGGGUUAUCCGUAAGGAGAAGCUCUUGAUCGAAGCCCCGGUAAACGGCGGCCGUAACUAUAACGGUCCUAAGGUAGCGAAAUUCCUUGUCGGGUAAGUUCCGACCUGCACGAAUGGCGUAAUGAUGGCCAGGCUGUCUCCACCCGAGACUCAGUGAAAUUGAACUCGCUGUGAAGAUGCAGUGUACCCGCGGCAAGACGGAAAGACCCCGUGAACCUUUACUAUAGCUUGACACUGAACAUUGAGCCUUGAUGUGUAGGAUAGGUGGGAGGCUUUGAAGCGUGGACGCCAGUCUGCGUGGAGCCAACCUUGAAAUACCACCCUUUAAUGUUUGAUGUUCUAACGUUGGCCCCUUACCGGGGUUGCGGACAGUGUCUGGUGGGUAGUUUGACUGGGGCGGUCUCCUCCCAAAGCGUAACGGAGGAGCACGAAGGUUAGCUAAUCCUGGUCGGACAUCAGGAGGUUAGUGCAAUGGCAUAAGCUAGCUUGACUGCGAGCGUGACGGCGCGAGCAGGUGCGAAAGCAGGUCAUAGUGAUCCGGUGGUUCUGAAUGGAAGGGCCAUCGCUCAACGGAUAAAAGGUACUCCGGGGAUAACAGGCUGAUACCGCCCAAGAGUUCAUAUCGACGGCGGUGUUUGGCACCUCGAUGUCGGCUCAUCACAUCCUGGGGCUGAAGUAGGUCCCAAGGGUAUGGCUGUUCGCCAUUUAAAGUGGUACGCGAGCUGGGUUUAGAACGUCGUGAGACAGUUCGGUCCCUAUCUGCCGUGGGCGCUGGAGAAUUGAGGGGGGCUGCUCCUAGUACGAGAGGACCGGAGUGGACGCAUCACUGGUGUUCGGGUUGUCAUGCCAAUGGCACUGCCCGGUAGCUAAAUGCGGAAGAGAUAAGUGCUGAAAGCAUCUAAGCACGAAACUUGCCCCGAGAUGAGUUCUCCCUGAGACUUUAAGUCUCCUGAAGGAACGUUGAAGACGACGACGUUGAUAGGCCGGGUGUGUAAGCGCAGCGAUGCGUUGAGCUAACCGGUACUAAUGAACCGUGAGGCUUAACCUUACAACGCCGAAG
rnacentral:rRNA from 1 species